AUACAAAAAGACCAUUAAUUCUAGACAGCACAACUAAAACUGGAUACCUACCAGUAAAUUAGUUCCAAAAUAAACACUAUUACUGGCAAUUUUCUAGAAGAGUGACAGGAAAUAGGGAUUUGUACCCCUAAACGGACAAUUCUGUUUCCCACUUCUUCCUGGCCACACCAGCACAUUAGAUGACAGAAAUAAGAUAAUUUGGGGAAAACAACCUUUGAAGGUUGAGGAAGGA